GAUAAUGACAAAUGCAUUUAAGUUUCCAGUCAUUAAUGGCAUUUAAAAGUUGCAUAGCUUAUAAAUUAAAUAUUCCUUUCAGCAGUGGUUGAGAGUCCAACACCAUUAGUAGAGCCAUUUCCUGUUGUUGUCAACAUCGUAGUCUGUGCACCCUCCCCCAACUGCUAUCCAGUACGACAUGAAAACACUCUCCCAACACUGCCAAUGAUUUAUGCAAAGUUUGUGUAAAGGGCCAGAUAAAAGGCGUUUUGAUGUCUAAGAAAAACGAGACGUGCUUGGUAAAAACUGUGCGUCUUGUUCAUGUCACGGAACUAAGCAUAACCUGCAGCUGAUGUGGCAAAGCAAUGGUGACCAACACACUGCUCUUUAUGCUCUCCUCCGAGACAAAGCCAAGCCUGCUUUAGCACGACAAGGCACGGCCGGGGAUAGACUCACUGUCAGCGAAGCGCAGACAAAACAUCCACAAUACAGAAGAGCUGUCAAAACGAGGAGACACAGGGGGAUCUGCUGGCUGAUAGAACUUGUGAUAACCACCCGACAGACAACGACUCACCCUGCCUGCCCACGAUCUCCGCGACGUGCUCGGAGCUGGGCACGGCCACACACUCUGUUGUGUUGACGCUCUUUCGCCGAGACAACAGCGAUGGCUCGGCCUCGUAGCCUGACUCCCCGUACACGCCGGACGGCAGCAUCGCCAUGCUGUUAGCCGGUGGCAAGGCGCCGCCGCCAAUCCCCGUAUCAUCCCUUUCGUCCACGUUGUACAACAACACCGUCUCGACGUGAGGGGGCUCCAUUCCGGACGGCAUCACGGAGCCACCCGGCCCCGAUGGGAGGUGUUGGUGUCGGUGGGCCUGCGCUAGCAACGAGCCAGUGGUGCAGCCAGAGGAAUCGGCGGCUACAGCUUCUGGCUCUUCGUCUUCGGGCGCUGCCGUUUUGUUCACUUCAUCUCCCGAGGGCGGCCGAUGCAGGGGCUUCAAAUCGAGGACAGUACCGAGGAGGCUGAAAUGGGAGACCGAUGGGAGCUGGUGGUGAGGAAAGGAGAGGCUCUCAUCUGCUUGUUCGGAGGUCUGGCUCUGGGUGCCGAGGUGCUCCUCAAGGCCCAUACCGGCGAAAGCGUGCACAAGCGGCGGUGGGACCUCGGACUCUCCCUCAUCGGCCUCCAGCAAAGACGUGCUACUGGGCAUAAUGCUAAACUUUCAGAAUAUUGCCGUUGAACUGAAAUCGAUAUGAAUAAUGGAUGAAAUUUGUUUUGAUUUACAAAAAAUAAAAAUAAAAAGCGACCAGCGCCAGUUAGUUGAAA